rnacentral:rRNA from 1 species
AGAGUUUGAUCCUGGCUCAGGAUGAACGCUGGCGGCAUGCCUAAUACAUGCAAGUCGAACGAGAGGAAGGAAAGCUUGCUUUCCUAAAUCUAGUGGCGAACGGGUGAGUAACACGUAGGUAACCUGCCCAUGUGCCCGGGAUAACUUCUGGAAACGGAUGCUAAAACCGGAUAGGUAGCAGACAAGCAUUUGACUGCUAUUAAAGUGGCUAAGGCCAUGAACAUGGAUGGACCUGCGGUGCAUUAGCUAGUUGGUGAGGUAACGGCCCACCAAGGCGACGAUGCAUAGCCGGCCUGAGAGGGCGGACGGCCACAUUGGGACUGAGACACGGCCCAAACUCCUACGGGAGGCAGCAGUAGGGAAUUUUCGUCAAUGGGGGGAACCCUGAACGAGCAAUGCCGCGUGAGUGAGGAAGGUCUUCGGAUCGUAAAGCUCUGUUGUAAGAGAAAAACGGCACUCAUAGGGAAUGAUGAGUGAGUGAUGGUAUCUUACCAGAAAGUCACGGCUAACUACGUGCCAGCAGCCGCGGUAAUACGUAGGUGGCGAGCGUUAUCCGGAAUGAUUGGGCGUAAAGGGUGCGUAGGUGGCAGAUCAAGUCUGGAGUAAAAGGUAUGGGCUCAACCCGUACUUGCUCUGGAAACUGAUCAGCUAGAGAACAGAAGAGGACGGCGGAACUCCAUGUGUAGCGGUAAAAUGCGUAGAUAUAUGGAAGAACACCGGUGGCGAAGGCGGCCGUCUGGUCUGGAUUCUGACACUGAAGCACGAAAGCGUGGGGAGCAAAUAGGAUUAGAUACCCUAGUAGUCCACGCCGUAAACGAUGAGAACUAGGUGUUGGGGGAAUAACUCAGUGCCGCAGUUAACGCAAUAAGUUCUCCGCCUGGGGAGUAUGCACGCAAGUGUGAAACUCAAAGGAAUUGACGGGGGCCCGCACAAGCGGUGGAGUAUGUGGUUUAAUUCGACGCAACGCGAAGAACCUUACCAGGUCUUGACAUUGAUCGCGAUCUGCAGAAAUGCGGAGUUCUUCUUCGGAAGACGAGAAAACAGGUGGUGCACGGCUGUCGUCAGCUCGUGUCGUGAGAUGUUGGGUUAAGUCCCGCAACGAGCGCAACCC